rnacentral:rRNA from 1 species
GACGAACGCUGGCGGCGUGCUUAACACAUGCAAGUCGAACGGAAAGGCCCUGCUUUUGUGGGGUGCUCGAGUGGCGAACGGGUGAGUAACACGUGAGUAACCUGCCCCUGACUUUGGGAUAACUUCAGGAAACUGGUGCUAAUACCGGAUAUGAGCUCCUGCUCCAUGGUGGGGGGUGGAAAGUUUCGGUGGUUGGGGAUGGUCUCGCGGCUGCUCAGCUUGUUGGUGGGGUAGUGACUUACGAGCGAUUGGACGGGUAGCGGGCCUGAUAGGGUGACCAGCGAGAUUGGGACUGAGGUACGGCGCGGACUAGUACGGGAGGAAGUAGUGGGGAAUACGGAAGAAUGGGCGGAAGACGGGGGGAGAAAGGCCGAGGGCUGGGUGAUGUGAUCCGGUUUGGAAACCGCUUAAGCCUGUGAAGAGGCGUUAGUGACGGUAAUGGGUAAAGAAGCGCCGGCUAACUACGUG